GGUUAAUGCUCACAAAUAGGAUUUUAUGGGAAAUUGAUUUUGUGCAUGCCCUGUUGUAAGGAUCCAGUUAUGGGAUGGGGUGAGAAAUGUUGAGAAAAGAUUGUGGGUUCUAGAUUUACACGGGCCAUUUGCAUUUGCUUAAAUGUUUCCAAAUCCUUGCCAACAAAAUAAUUUCCAGCUUUAAUACAUAUCAAUAAGAUUAAUUUAAGAUCAGUAGGAAAACAACUUCAUUCCUGCUUGGUAAAUUGAGUGACUGGUACUUUAAUAUUUGUACAUAUCUUAAGCAUCUUGUAUUCUAAUUUUUAAAAAAAAACUUCAUUCCUGCUUGGUAAAUUUAGUGACUGGUACUUUAAUAUUUGUACAUAUCUUAAGCAUCUUGUAUUCUAAUUUUCAAAAAACAAUUUGCUUACCAUGGAGAAAUUUGUCCCAACCCACAGCCUAGAAUAUAAGAAAUCUUGCACAUAUAAUGAAAACCUAGAUGCAUUGCAAAGGGUAGAUCGCUGAUAAGGGGGCACAUCUUAGGAUUGUAGUAUCAUAAGAUUAUUUUAAUGGAAGAUCUAGGGUGGUACAUAUAUAUGUUUGCAUGAAACAAGUAUUUUUGUUGAUGGAGAAAGUACAGUGGCUAGCACAAAUGUACUAUUUGUUACCUUUUCUAUUGGUUUUGGGUUGUUUUUGGUUUCAGGUAGCCUCUGCAACAAAACUUUUGGAGCUAAUUUAAUUUUUGGGUGAAGUGCAAGCAUUUUGUGUUGCUUGAACAUUCUUCAGCUUUAUACAUAGAUUAAUGUAUAAAGCUACAAGUUUGUUUUGAACACUUUUUUCUCCUUCGGGUAUCAUAGAUUUUAGAAUUAAAAAUUAGGGACAAGGAUAGACUGAAUCUUACAAGACUGCAUUUAUCCUUGCCUGAACUCUCUAUCAUGAACUUCCCAAACUCCGAAUUUUCUGUCAUGACCAGAUUCAUAGCCUCUGCAACAGAACUUUUGGAGCUAAUUUUAUUUUUGGGUAAAGUACAAGCAUUUUGUCUUGCCUGAACAUUCUCCAACUUACUUUUUCUUUCCGUGCAUAAGGCAUUUUGUGUUUUCUGAACUUUAUUCAGCCUAAUUUUCUUUGUUGUGCAAGGGGACUGUAACCAAGAAACCCUGUGUUCCAUUUCAAGUACAAGAGAUGAACCAACAAGUAGAUGUUUCAGUGCAUAAAAAAACAAAACAAUAUCUAUAAUAUGUAAGUAGCUCAAACCAAAACAAAUUAGAGAUAGCCAGAUGCUUCUAUCUUGCUGUUGGCAAUAGAAAUGCCUCUAGAUUGCUCAAGCUUUGGGAAUUGACAAGUUUUCAGACCUGAUAGUCAAUAGUCCAUAAUAAUGUGAAUGUUUUUGGUUGUAACUGUGUAAGAAUUUUCGCACCCACUAGAAAUACUCACAAGUUUUGAGGCCCUCAAGUUGAACUCAGAGUAGAAAACAUAAGGAUAUUAAUAACAUCUGAAUGUAAAUAGAAUCAAAAUACUAAGCAUCUCAAAUAGAUAGGAGGCAAUUGAAUUCAUCCAUUUUUAAACUUGGUUUGACAACGAUAUUUGAACUUACACUCAUAUACAAGAUCCUUAUUGAGCUGAUAGGCUCUUCAUAUGAGGUUUCUUUGCCGAAAAAUUGUUAGUAUUGCAUAAUAAUUUCCCCACCCAUUGUUUCUUGUUCGCUUGAUUUGAUGUGAUAAUUUACACGCACAUUGUUCCUUGUUCACUUGUGUCUUGGAAAGUGCGAAGGGAAAUGUCAUGCGAUACAUGAAGUUUGCGUCUUUCUAAUGUGCGAGUACAUUGAAUUCGAGUUAUUAACAUUAACGACAACAUUUGGUAUAUGCUUAUCGAUGCACUACUUGAUCUCUGAAAAAUAUUUGGUUGAGGUUUUGUGUAGCUAACCGCUUUUUGCAGAAUGGUUGAUGCUUGUAUGGAAUGGUGAAUGACCGUUGAGCCUUCAUUCAACACGAUGCAAUUGACAUACAACAACAUCCAUACUUACAUGUCCACUGCUAUUACACAGUUACUUUUCCAUCCUUGCAUUUUUCAACACAUCAUCAAUGCUCCAUAUAACGGUGCUCCAACAAUUAUUUACAUGGAGCGCUUUCAUGCCUAAUUUGAAUAAUGGACAUUCUCAUGCACAUGCCUUCUACAAAGGACAUCAUGCUACCUCAACCCAAAAAUAAAAGGUUGCCUUGCCUGUAAUCUAGUUAUGGAUGUUACACCAUUCACUUCCAUUGCAAAGGUCAUAUAUUCUAAUAGAAUUGUCAAAGCCUAGUUUCAUGCUCUUCCUGCCUUCGUUUACCAUAUCCCUUGCCUCUUUCAAACUCCUGUUUCCGAAGCUUCCCAUUUUUUAUCCUCAUUGCAGCUGCACCAGCUCUUUGGUAGUACCACACACUACUUGUUCUUUUCCGCUUCAAGUUCUUCUUAGUUGCUUAAGUAGGCUGGUUAUCAAUCCCAUCUUUUUGUUCACAUACAUAUAUUCCUCAAAAUCAGAUGU